rnacentral:rRNA from 1 species
AUGCAAGAGGCAAAGAAAUCUAUGAAAGAAAAAGGUAUUAAAGCUGAGGAUGUUAGAAAUUUACCUCCUGUUGAAGAAAUACAUGUGCUUAAUACACCACCGCUGCCUAAGGAGGUAGAGGUAAAUUCUUUAAUGAAGUUCAAUGAUAAUGAUAAUCCUCACAAUAUGCAUCCUAGUCAAUGCCUUUAUGAGUUUGAAAACUACAUUAGAAAACAAGAUCACUUCAAUGCAAAUGUUAUGAAACAAUUGAAAUAUAAUUCUGAUAUGAUUGCUCGCUUGAGUGACUUUUUAUUUAGAAUUUCAAAUGAUGUUAGAGGUGUGGGAAAACAUGCUUCUAUGGUUCAAACUCAGUUAGAACAAGUUGCUAAAUCACAAAGAGAAUUACUUGAUGAAAUGAAUCAUAAUAUGCAUGACUUUGCUGUUAGAGUUGCAACUAGAGGAGGUAAAAUGACUCAGGAACCACUUUAUCCUGAGGGACACCCAAAAAGAAUUGAAAACGAUUCACAAAGAAAUAACACUAGUGCACCUAGUCCUUCUAAAAAGAAAAAGAAGAAGAAAAAUGAUAGGACUUUGCAUACUUCUAGUGAACCUGAAAUAGAGAAACCUCCUGAUAAUGAAAAUGAAACUUCUAUCUCUGAUGCUAAAACUCAAUCUGGUAAUGAAUGA